rnacentral:rRNA from 1 species
AGUGAACGCUGGCGGCGUGCCUAAUACAUGCAAGUCGAACGAAGUGGCGCACGGGUGAGUAAUAUAUAGUUACUCUGCCCUACACAGAGGAACAACAGUUGGCAACGACUGCUAAUACCUCAUAGUGUAGGAUGAGACUAUAUCGUAUCAGCUAGUUGGUAAGGUAAUGGCUUACCAAGGCUAUGACGCGUAACUGGUCUGAGAGGAUGAUCAGUCACAUUGGAACCGAGACACGGUCCAAACUCCUACGAGGGGCAGCGGGAAGGAAUAUGGCGCGAUGGGGGAAUCCCUGACGCCGGCACGGCGCGUGGAGAAUGACACUUUGCGGAGGGUAAGCUCCUUUUAUCAAGGAAGCGGUACCUGGUGAAUAAGCACGGGCUAACUCCGAGCCAGCCACCGCGGUAAUUC